UGCCGAUUUCUCUUCAAUUUUUCUCAGCUCCGGCCGGUACGACGUAGAUCUCCGUCGAUCUAGAACAUGCAGAUGCUUCAGGUCUCCUAGUCCCGUCGUCAUCUGUCGCCGUGGAGCUUCCGUCGGCGAAGUAGAGAUGUCGGUUGAAGAGAUCUGUGUUGAAGACAAGUUUUUUUCUGAUUUCGUUUCCUUCUGUAUACAUCUAGGUAUAGGGUUUGUGUAGAUUUCUUUCCCUUCUCUUGGUUUGUGAUUAGGGUUUCUGGAAAUUUGAUUUCACAAAUGUAGGGUUUGUGUUUUGUUCUUUGAUUUGGAGCUAAUUAGAUCGAUUUUGAUUUUUGAUUUUGGUUUUGACAAGUUGGUGUUUCAUCGAUCAUCAUCACCAAAAUCACAGGUGAGAGGAUCAACAAAUAUAGAAAAGAAAUUAUUCUCAGUGUAAUGAUAGACUUGUGAGAGAAGCUUGAAUGCACCUGACAUUCAUUGUGGAUGGCUUCUACCUGAAUUUGCUGGACUGGGGUGUCUUAGCCAUAGCGUUGGGCCACACUCUUUACUUAUGGGAUGCUUCCACUGGUGUGACCAUUGAUGAGGAAAAGGGACCUUUCAACUGGGCACCUGAUGGUCGUCAUGUCCACCUAUGGGAUUCUGCUUCCAACCGUAAUCAACUGAGAACAUUGAAGAGUAGGAUCACUGGGAUGUUCUUACUACUGGAGGAAUAAAUGGACUGAUCAUUAACAAUGAUGUGAGGAUUGUGGAGACUUACAGGCAGGGCCGGCCCAGACCUAAAGCCCAGCAAGCAGAUGCUUUAGGCAUCAAAUUUUAUAUGUAUUUUAAAGGGCAUCAAAAUUACAAAAGUGUCUUGUAGUCUAGUGGUAUUUAGGACACUUAAAUAUAGUUGGUCGAGGGUUCGAUCCCUGGCAACCAUAAAUUUUAACAUUUUUUUAUUUUUAGUUGUUGUAAAUUGGCAUCAAAUUUGGUUGGGCUUUAGGCAUCAUGAAUCUUUGGGCCGGCCCUGUUUACUGGGGUCACACUCAAGAGGUUUGUGGUCUCAAGUGGUCAGGAUCUGGUUACACAUAUGGGAUCCUUCUGUUGCUAGCUCAAACUCAACUACGCAAUGGCUGCACAUGCUUGAGGAAUAUACAUCUAAUGUGAAAGCUCUUGCGUGGUGGUGGUGGAGGAGAUACUAUUUUCUCCAUUCUUAUUUUUGUUUUUGUUUCCUUUUUUUUUUUUAAAGAUUAGUUUAAAUUUUAAAUUAGUUUUAAAAAAUUUGUUGCUUGCUGUUGGCAGUUUUGUUUGGAAGAUGAUCACACAAUAUGUUCUGUAAUGGGAGAAUUUGACUUAGAAAAA